rnacentral:rRNA from 1 species
UACGUAGGGGGCAAGCGUUGUCCGGAAUCAUUGGGCGUAAAGAGCGUGUAGGCGGUCCGGUAAGUCGGCUGUGAAAGUCCAGGGCUCAACCCUGGGAUGCCGGUCGAUACUGCCGGACUAGAGUUCGGAAGAGGCGAGUGGAAUUCCCGGUGUAGCGGUGAAAUGCGCAGAGUAUCGGGAGGAACACCUAUGGCGAAGGCAGCUCGCUGGGACGUUACUGACGCUGGAGACGCGAAAGCGUGGGGAGCAAACAGG